UCUCUUUAAUGCCAUACUGGUACUUCAUUUGUGUCAUCUGAAGGUAGGUUGUUACCGAGCUUUAUCAUCUUAGAGAUCCAUGCAUUCUCUAAGAACACACUUCCACCUGACCUUACUUGUAGAUGCUCAGCAGCAGUCAUGCAAUUUAUAUACGCGCCUAUGGCCUACAAUUUAAAAUAUACAUAAUAUAUUAGCUGACACAUACUCACAAUCAAAUAACGUAUUAUUGUCAUAAUGCAAUAUUAUUCUACUUACUUCAUCGCCAAUCCAUUGUCCGAUAGUUAAAAGAGAUAGUAAAUGUAUUUUUCUCAAUAUGCGUCGUCGAUGCUCACCAAAUGUCGCUCUUCGAUUGGUUCAGAUCUUAUAGUUUCUAUGGCCGACCAAACAUCGCUAGUGCACGCAUAAUCUGUCCUGAUGGCCAUGAUAACAUUUAAUUAUAAUGAACAAAAGAACAAUAGUUUAACAGUACAAGGACAUCGAAGGUUUUGUUCUGUGCCUUGUGGAGAAACAAUGUAGUCUUGUGCCUUCUUAGGCUUGUUAUGUCGUCGUAUAUGGUUCUUUAUAUGCACGGGCUGUCUUAGCUCGUUCUCUAUAGUUUCAAGUCCUUUCGUGCCGGGUGUUUGUACCAAUUCCUUGUCCUUAGGUGCCACCAUUUGUUGACUUGUUUCAUUGUUGGUUAAUUUCCGAGGACAAAAUUCAAAGAAUUAUCCCUAUGUAGGAUAUAACACAUAAAAAUUAUUUUGGAAGAUAUAGUUUGAAAAGCAAACUCACUUGUGUAUGUUCAGAAUCUUUGGCCUCUCUUUUUUCUAUGUUUUCUUCAAGAAGAGGUGUAUAUUCUAGGCUCUCCAUGCAAUUAUUUUCCUCCACUUCACUAUCGUUGAGUAUUUCACCUGAUUUGUCAUUGCUUAGUACGUGAUACACACGGUAAUAUAAUAUUAUAACAUAUAUUUUUUAUGUGAUAUUGUACUAAAAAAUUACAGUCUGAUUUGUGGCAUUAGAAUUAGAAUAGUAAUGCCAUGUGGAAAGAAAACUCGUCUUUGUUAAUUCGGGGAUUCUAUCUCCAUCCUUGGUUAUGACAUCUUCAAAAAGCAUGUUUUGUGGACCCUCCGUAAUGGAUUGUUGUGCGGCCUUUCCAGACUCCGGAUUUGUAUCCUUUUGUAUUGUUAUCACCUCUUCAAAUCUGCAUAUUUUCGGUAUCCUCCAUAAUAGAAUAUCCUUGUAUCACCUCUAUCGACUUAGGGUUGGUAUCCUCGUCUUUCUUUAUCACCUCUUCAACCUGCAUAUUAUUUGUAUCCUCAUCCUUUGCUACCUUGUUGACCUUCUCCUGAAAACCCAAGCAUAACACUUUUAGAAAGUUACCUUGUAUAGGAUGAAAAGAGAUAUAAUAUGUCUUUACCUUGUCAAUAGCAUGCCCAAUAGUACCGGAUCGGGUUGGAGAUUGACCAGCAUUUUGCACCGGGGACGGUGGCGCGGACAUGGAGGAUGAUGGUGCUUCACCAAGGGCGGGGGGUGCGGCGAGGGGGGAGACUUGUUGUGAACGUAUGUUGGGAUGCGACUGAGAGAUCGCGAGGGGGGAUGGAGGAGAGGUCGAAAGUAAUAGUAUCAGGAAAUAUAAUACUCCCUCCGUACCUAAAUAUAAGUCUUUUAAGAUAUUUCACUAGGUGUCUACAUACGGAGCAAAAUGAAUGAAUAUAUACUCUAAAGUAUGUCUAUAUACAUCCGUAUGUAGUCCAUUAGUUGAAUCUCUAGAAAGACUUAUAUUUAGGAACGGAGGGAGUAUAAGGAAGAUCCCCUAAAAAGGCAAUAUAAGGUAGAUGAUGAGAGAAAGGAAACUACUAUCGCCAUAAUUGGGGACUCCUCAUUGAUAUCAUCCCGGAUUUAUCUAAGGCCCCACAAUCUUAUUUUGUGCUCUCUUUUUCAUACCCCACGGGCACAAAAUUAUUUUAGUUAUUUUCGUAGUACAUUCUAUAUGCAGAAAUAUUGGGUUUGGCCCACCUUUAUUUUGUAACAGUGGGCUAUCUAAUUGAGAAAAGGCACACCCUUUAGAUAUUUGAGAAACUUAAUUUCUGUUUCAUUUGAAAGUAAGCUAGUGCAUUAUGGUUGACUCCUUAUACAUCACCUUGCGACUGCAGGGACUACCAACAGGUCUACCUGCUACGUGUUAGUGAUGGCCAAGCCAACCAAGGGGGAGAUUAGUGAAGAGGUGAAGGAGAAGCUGGAAUUGUAACAGUAGGCAUAUCUUAAACUGGUUUGAUGCAUGUUGGAAGACGUAUUCUCACCCACUCCGGUUAUCCGAAAUUUUAGCCUGUUACAUGAUUCAUUCUAGUAUCUGCAUGCCCAUAUAUUCUUUUCUGAAUACUUUAUGCUAUAUUGUUUUGAUUUCAAUAGUAAAAAGACAGCAUGUGAGCUCCUCUGCUAUAGAUCCGGGAACAAUGUAUGUGCACUAUGGUACUAAAAAUGCAUUUUAACUUCAAUAUAUUCCGCAAUAUCAUAGAUUUUUGCAGUUUUAAUUACAAAUAUAUCAAAGAUCAG
rnacentral:lncRNA from 1 species